GACGAACGCUGGCGGCGUGCUUAACACAUGCAAGUCGAACGGAAAGGCCCUGCUUUUGUGGGGUGCUCGAGUGGCGAACGGGUGAGUAACACGUGAGUAACCUGCCAUUGACUUUGGGAUAACUUCAGGAAACUGGGGCUAAUACCGGAUAGGAGCUACUGCUGCAUGGUGGGGGUUGGAAAGAUUCGGCGGUUGGGGAUGGACUCGCGGCUUAUCGGCUUGUUGCUGUGGUAGUGGAUGACCAAGGCUUUGACAGGUAGCCGGCCUGGGCGGGUGACCGGCCACAUUGGGACUGAGAUGCGACCCGGACUACAACGCGACGCAGCGGUGGGGAAUAUUGCAUAAGGGGCUGAAGCCUGACGCGACCAAGCCGCGUGCGGGAUGAGGUCAAUCCGGUUGUAAACCGAUUUCGCCUGUGACGAAGUGUGAGUGACGGUAACGGGUAAAGAAGCACCGGCUAACUCCGUG
rnacentral:rRNA from 1 species